rnacentral:lncRNA from 1 species
GCUCAGCAUCUCUUCAUGUCUUUUUGUAUUGUCAGGUUCUGGUAUAUUAGAAGGAUCAGUAGGUUGCAGAUUUGAUACCAUCUUCUCAGUUACAAAAGAAAAAGGCACAUUCAGUGAAACAGUAGAUUGCAUUUUACAAAACUAGGCAGAAUAUUUGAUACCAUCUUUUCAGUUAGAAGAGUAGAAGGCACAUUCAGUGAAACAGUAGAUUGCAUUUUACAAAACUGGGCAGAAUCACUCUUUGGCCUUGAGAGAGUGUCUGCCAGUGUAUCUUUUGAUUGAGCUGCAUCAACAAGGUGCUCUCUGGCCUCUCUUCCUAGUUGCGGCACAUUGCUGCAUUGAUUCUGACCUUUGUGAAUAUCCUCUGAGUUGGAAUGGUCAGAAGUAUCCAAAACUGAUGUUGAAUUCAGAUUAAAUGCCUCCCCCUAAAAAGCAAGCAGUUGCCCAGCCUGUGAACUAGAAAUAAUGUAUGCAUUAUUGUUAGCAUUCUGGUAUCUCUGAUGAUGCUCAAUCAGCAUCUCUUCAGGUCUAUUUUAAUGACAGAUUUUGGUACAUUAGAUGGAUGACUAGGUUGCAAAAUUGAUACCAUCUUUUCAGUUACACCAGCUGAAGGCAAAUUCAAUGGAACAGUGUAUUGAAUUUUAGUAAAAUUGGCAGAAUCACCCUUUGGCCUUAGGAUAGUGUCUGCAAGUGCAACAUUCGAUCCUCACUUCCUAUCUGCGUGACAUUGCAACAUUGAUUCUGUCCUUUGUGAAUGUGGGAUAGUGUCUGAAAGUGCAACAUUCGAUUGAGCUGCUUCAACACAGUACUUUCUGGCCUCACUUCCUAUCUGCGUGACAUUGCAACAUUGAUUCUGUCCUUUGUGAAUAUCUUCUGUUAUGGUAUGCUCAGAAGGAACCACAACUGAUAAUGAAUUCAGAUUUAAAGCCUCACCCUCAAAAACAAUCAGCUGCCCAGCCUUGGCACUAGAAGACAUACUCUCUGCAGUAGACUGCAUCGGCCCAACAGUAGGCACAUUUGAUCGUGCAUAGAUAGUAGAAGCAGGUACAUCUCUAGAAGGGUUAGGAGUUCUUUUAUCCAACUUCAAAACCUCCUCCAUAAAGUGAAUUGGAGCUGCUGCAUGUGGCGCAUCUGAGGCUCCAGUAACAACAGGAUUCCUAGCCAUUUCAUGUUGAGCAUCAUCAUCCCUAUCAUUCAGAGAAAGUUGUGUAGGCUUCAACGCAACAGUCAUUUUCGUAACAUCCUUUACCAUACCAUUUUGAGUAGCAUAAUCAAUUGAAGCAACAACAUCCUUGACGCCUGCAUUAUUUUUCACAGUCACUCCUUCUGCACUUUGAACAGUCUGCUGUGAGACAUUUGUUAAUUAAACUCCAGAAU